rnacentral:rRNA from 1 species
GACGAACGCUGGCGGCGUGCUUAACACAUGCAAGUCGAACGGAAAGGCCCUGCUUUUGUGGGGUGCUCGAGUGGCGAACGGGUGAGUAACACGUGAGUAACCUGCCCUUGACUUUGGGAUAACUUCAGGAAACUGGGGCUAAUACCGGAUAGGAGCUCCUGCUGCAUGGUGGGGGUUGGAAAGUUUCGGCGGUUGGGGAUGGACUCGCGGCUUAUCAGCUUGGUGGUGGGGUAGUGGCUUACCAAGGCUUUGACGGGUAGCCGGCCUGGGAGGGUGACCGGCCACAUUGGGACUGAGAUACGGCCCAGACUCCUACGGGAGGCAGCAGUGGGGAAUAGUGCACAAUGGGCGGAAGCAUGAUGCAGCAACGCCGCGUGCGGGAUGACGGGCUUCGGGUUGUAAACCGCUUUCGCCUGUGACGAAGCGUGAGUGACGGUAAUGGGUAAAGAAGCACCGGCUAACUACGUG